UUUUAUUCCAAAAUCACACUUGAAGACUUGAGAGCACUUUGAAGGCAUUGAAGACACUUAGAAGACGGUGAGAAUCAAAAUCAUAGUGGGUGUGUAUCAUAGUCAGUGUAUCUGAGUUGGCUGCAUUCAAUGUAUCUGAGCUGGCUCUGGCUACAUGCCAAUUGAAAUGCCGGGGAGCUAUCUGUGUAAAUUUUGAAUAUUUGGUAUAAUCGAACAGAUGUAAACGCAUCCAGACUUCUAGAGAAAA